CUUUCACAGAGGGAUAGCCCAGAGAAAUUUGGAUUAAUACCUCAUAGUAUAGCAGUUUCGCAUGAAACCACUAUUAAAGUCACAACGGUGAAAGAUGAGCAUGCGUCCCAUUAGCUAGUUGGUAAGGUAACGGCUUACCAAGGCAACGAUGGGUAGGGGUCCUGAGAGGGAGAUCCCCCACACUGGUACUGAGACACGGACCAGACUCCUACGGGAGGCAGCAGUGAGGAAUAUUGGACAAUGGGCGCAAGCCUGAUCCAGCCAUGCCGCGUGCAGGAUGACGGUCCUAUGGAUUGUAAACUGCUUUUGUACAGGAAGAAACGCCUCUACGUGUAGAGACUUGACGGUACUGUAAGAAUAAGGAUCGGCUAACUCCGUGCCAGCAGCCGCGGUAAUACGGAGGAUCCAAGCGUUAUCCGGAAUCAUUGGGUUUAAAGGGUCCGUAGGCGGUUUAGUAAGUCAGUGGUGAAAGCCCAUCGCUCAACGGUGGAACGGCCAUUGAUACUGCU
rnacentral:rRNA from 1 species